rnacentral:rRNA from 1 species
GACGAACGCUGGCGGCGUGCCUAAUACAUGCAAGUUGAGCGCUGAAGGUUGGUACUUGUACCAACUGGAUGAGCAGCGAACGGGUGAGUAACGCGUGGGGAAUCUGCCUUUGAGCGGGGGACAACAUUUGGAAACGAAUGCUAAUACCGCAUAAAAACUUUAAACACAAGUUUUAAGUUUGAAAGAUGCAAUUGCAUCACUCAAAGAUGAUCCCGCGUUGUAUUAGCUAGUUGGUGAGGUAAAGGCUCACCAAGGCGAUGAUACAUAGCCGACCUGAGAGGGUGAUCGGCCACAUUGGGACUGGGACACGGCCCAAACUCCUACGGGAGGCAGCAGUAGGGAAUCUUCGGCAAUGGACGAAAGUCUGACCGGGCAACGCCGCGUGAGUGAAGAAGGUUUUCGGAUCGUAAAACUCUGUUGGUAGAGAAGAACGUUGGUGGGAGUGGAAAGCUCAUCAAGUGACGGUAACUACCCAGAAAGGGACGGCUAACUACGUG